GGCAGUGUGGUGGAAUUGGUAGACACACAGCACUCAAAAUGCUGCGCCUUCGGGCAUCCCGGUUCGACUCCGGGCACUGCUACCA
rnacentral:tRNA from 1 species